GUGGGGAAUAUUGCACAAUGGGGGAAACCCUGAUGCAGCGACGCCGCGUGAGUGAAGAAGUAUUUCGGUAUGUAAAGCUCUAUCAGCAGGGAAGAAAAUGACGGUACCUGACUAAGAAGCCCCGGCUAACUACGUGCCAGCAGCCGCGGUAAUACGUAGGGGGCAAGCGUUAUCCGGAUUUACUGGGUGUAAAGGGAGCGUAGACGGCUUUGCAAGUCUGACGUGAAACUCCGGGGCUCAACUCCGGAACUGCGUUGGAAACUGUAAGGCUUGAGUGCCGGAGAGGUAAGCGGAAUUCCUAGUGUAGCGGUGAAAUGCGUAGAUAUUAGGAGGAACACCAGUGGCGAAGGCGGCUUACUGGACGGCAACUGACGUUGAGGCUCGAAAGCGUGGGGAGCAAACAGGAUUAGAAACCCUGGUAGUCC
rnacentral:rRNA from 1 species